rnacentral:lncRNA from 1 species
UCCACCUGUUCUUGUCCACUUUGUCCUACCAUUCAGACAGGGUAGGAGAUGAAAAAUAGCUGUGUCCCAAACCAGUAGGGUGCUUUAAUGUUGCAGAAGAGAAUUCAUAAGGUUCAAGGAUUCGUUUUCACCGCACUUGGGAAGAGAAGGCCUGUCAGGGAAUCCUCCCUUGCCUGAUGACUAGGGCUUCAAAUAAUCCCACAAAACAGAAGCAAGAAAUGGAGCAACAGCGGAGAAGUUCAAAGAGGAAAGUGCAAUCCAAUCCAAUCGAAGAAACUCAAGGAGGAAGUUGGCUUACUAUAAGUUUGUGUAGGGGAUGGAACCCAGGGCCUUGUGCCACGCUAAGACAAGCGCUCCACUCUUGAGCUUCCUCCUCAGGGGAUGUUUCUAACAAAUUCCCUCGUGGUGCUGAUGCAGCUGGCCUGGGAAGCACACUUGGAAGAUCGAUCUACUCAGAUCCACACGGGUCUCCUUCAGCACGGUUGGACUCCUGCC